ACCUUAUCAACUGGUACGACACGAAAGCCAAUGAGGUAGUAGAUUCUGCGCCAUAAAUUAGACGAAAAACUCAUUAGGGAAAGCUCGCGAGGACGGCCAUAAUACAGGAGAGCAUUCGCGAAGGUCAGGGUCAUUUGUUAUCUUUGAGAAAGAUGGGAAAAGAUUCACGAUCAAAACCGAAACUGAGCGAGCAUCCAACUUUAAACUUUUGCACUACCGAACUAUUUCGAAGAUGAUCGCGGGAAAAUCGAACUUCCGUUUAGUUCGGCCGAAGUCACCUUCCCUAAUCUGAGGGUCAAGGUUGCACUUCACUCUCGUUCGAGCUGCAGAUUAGUGUAGAAGUGUCGCGAGCUUGUCCGAGUCGAAUAACCGUUGAAUUCUUUAGAACAAAAGUUAUCUUUAGAAUAAGGCUGUACAAAGUGUGUGCGUUCAAGAAGAAGCGACAGCCUACGGCUAUAUCUAUUUUGCUAGCGACGCUUCCUGCUUUUCGACGCGAAGAGUGCGGCUUCUUGCAGCCAUCAGAAGCCAGCGGCCCGCCAACACGCCGCUAUCCCAUUGCAGUGGUCAUCAAUAGCCACAACGUGGCCAGACUCAGCCUACGGCCCCCCGCGAAAGUCUUCAUCCACGUGGAAGCGCGACUAAACCGGCAUCUAGUCCCACCCUACCGCGCAACGUACCAGGAGCGCAUACACCACAGCAGCACAUCGUCAAAUUACUGCAGCUAAUCGGUGAGUCGCCUAUUCCAAUCGAUCUUUUUUUGUGGAGUGGGGCGUCCGGUGAGGACGCCUCGGAGGAAAGUUUUUUGCCGACCAUAGGUCGAGGAAUCACGACGAAUGGACAAUCGUCCCGACGUCCAAUAACCAUUUCGGUUGAGCGGGAGUAAAAUCAAAACGUGUACACGUAGUUUUCGGAACACCCCCAACCCUAUUGUGUAAGCCACCCGGGUGCAUAUGGCUAGCUAGAUCGGUCGCCGCAUCGUCGAUUGAUAACUAUGAAUGGAGUAGCACAAGCAGAGUAGAAGCACGAAGAAUAGAAACGCACAAAUGUAGGUUAGAAUUAGAAAGUACGUACAACACAAAUUGAAAUAGAAGCAUGCUAAUAUAAUAAAUCUCCUUGUUUUUGGCCAUGAUUUUUCGUAAAUAAAUGUUUGUUAUUUAUUACCAACCAUACAUGGAGUACCUACGUAGUUUGUUCAGUUUAAAUGUUAGAAAUAUGGUUUAGUCACUGCGUGUCGAUUAAUUAGUGUUGCGUGGCGCAAAUGAAUGUGGCGUCUUGCGUAUUUGCGUUGUCUCUUCCAUACUAGUCGCGCCUCUUGCGGAAACGGGUGGAAUCUCCGAUGAUGAGAAAAUAACGUACAGCAUAAGUUGUAUCGCUUGUUGGGCAUGGGUGACGUCUUACCGGGAUCUUUGGAGGAACAGUUCGUAGCGUGACAGUUUUGGUUGGUUGCAUAAGGUAAAAUACCCAGUUCAGGUGUAGGAAGUAGAUGCGCUGGUUCGAUCGCUUUCUUUUCAGAAAUAAUAAAUGGACUCGCCCUAAGCGGAGUCUCACCGGGCAAACUAAAAAGGAAUGUGCGGCCUCCCUUACCGGAGUGGCGCUUAAGCUGCACAUUUUUCCGAGAUCGGCCAGCGCCAGCUACAAAAUGGCGCCCAACUGAAAGGUCUUAUUGUAGGUU